AUGUGUGCCGGAGCCAAAUAUCAUGUACUUGUUGGAACCACCAGAUCCUCCGGGAACUUCUUUGUAACAGGCGCAGUAGUAGGUGGCGGAAUGGGCAGCUUUUGUCGUCGCUAUCCUCAGUUCACAACCACUGUCUGUCUUCCAGACGCUGAAGUCGUCUUUGUCAGGAUGGUUGAAGCGAUUAUUGGGUUGUUCAUUUUCUAAGUUGUACCGUAGGAUGAUUUGGAAUGGUUGUCCAUCUUUCUUCUGGAACCAGUAAAGCUUUUUUUCAUCACACUGCUCUGUCCCACCACAGCUCAUUGAAACCGAUUUCUCCACUCCUUUGCUCAAGAACAACUUGUCCUGGGUCAGCUGUGUUGCUGUGGUUACCAGCGCUGUAAACAAACAGAGCCGUGGAUUAAGGUUAAGUGCGUUGGUAUUUUUUGCAGCGAGACUGUGCCGGCUCCUGAUUGGCCGGAAACACUCACCUGAACACAGACAGCACAGAGCGGCCGGCAGCAGGAGAAGCAUUCUGUGGCGUUUCCUCUGGUGAACCUGGAGAAGCAGCGUCUGAUGAAGAGGACGACGAAGCAAUGGGGCCUCCUGCUUUCUAAUGGCCCCUCCCACCUCCCAUCAGCCCCUGCGUGGACACCAAACAGCCCUCAGGUUCUCACUCUGCUGUUUGUUCAUGUGUGUAGAAAAGGGUGUCUGGUACUGGGGGUUUUCCUCUAUUUAAUUUGAUGAUCAUGUAGGUCACAGGUGUCAAACAUGCGGCCCGGGGGCCAAAUCUGGCCCACCAAACCAUCCAAUCUGGCCCGAGGGAUGAAAGCGCAAAAUGCCAAAAUUCCACAGUCAAGGCUAUGGAACUCAUUUUAGUUCAGGUUCCACAUACAGAACAGAAUGAUCUACAGCAGGGGUCUCAAACUCAGUUUCGUUCAGGUUCCACAUUCAGCCUGAUUUGAUCUCCAGUGGGCCGGACCAGUAAAAUAAUAAUAUAAUAACCUAUAAAUCAUGACAACUCCAAAUUUUUGUCUUUGUUUUAGUGCAAAAACAAAACCCCAUUAAAUUAUGAAAAUAUUUACUUUUAUAAACUAUCCAAACAAAAAAAGAUGUGAAUAACCUGAAAAACUGAAAUUUCUUCAGAAAAAUAAGUGCAAUUUUAAGAAUAUUCUGCCUCAACUUAUCAUUUCUGAAAUCUCUAAAGAAAAUUAAGCACAGUUUUAAGAAUUUUCUGCCUGUUCCUCAGUGUUUAGUGUCUUUGUAGAUCUGAUCCAUAAUGCACAUGUAGAAAUGAUAAGUUGAGGCAGAGUAUUGUUAAAAUUGCACUGAUUUUUCUGAAGAAAUUUCAGUUUUUUUCAGGGUAUUCACAUCUUUUUUGUUUGGAUAGUUUAUAAAAGUAAAUAUUUUCAUAAUUUAAUAACAAAGACAAACAUUUGGAGUUGUCAUUAUUUAUAGGUUAUUAUGUUAUUAUUUUACUGGUCCGGCCCACUGGAGAUCAAAUUGGGUUGAAUGUGGAACCUGAAAGAAAAUGUGUUUUAGAUCCCUGCCUUACAUCUUUAAUUUCUACAGCUCAUUUCCUAUUUGUGGGUUCUUGUAUGUUUUGUUAAAGAGAACUUGAUGACCCAAUAAUUGUGAAGCAGUAAUAUGUGUUUGCUCUGUGGUCCACAUUUGGACGUUCCUUUUCUUCCCGUCGCUCACAGUCAUUUCCCUGUCAGGGCUUUGUGUGUUUAGUCUUGGGAUUAUUUUCGAGGCUGUGAACUCCAUGUUGACAUGAGUUCUUCAAACUGCUCUCAGAUCGCUGCAUGUACAUCUGAUAUGAAGUUGAAAUAUGUGAUUGUGGUUUUUCUUCCUGUUGAAUAUCUGGAGGUUUUUGUUCGGGUUAGCGGCGUUCUUUCUCACUGUGGGGAACUUCUUUAUAACAGGCGCAGUAGUAGGUGGCUGAAUGGGCAGCUUUUGUCAUCGCUAUGAUCAGAUUAAUACCACUGUCUGUCUUCAAGAUGCUGAAGUCAUCUUUGUCAGGAUGGUUGUAGCUACUUUGGGAUAUUUCAUUUUCUAAGUUGUACUGGAUGAUGAUUUCGAAUGGUUGUCCGUCUUUCUUCUGGAACCAGUAAACCUGUUUGACAUCACACUGCUCUGUCCCACCACAGCUCAUUGAAACCGAUUUCUCCACUCCUCUGCUCAGGAACAACUUGUCCUGGGUCAGCUGUGUUGCCGUGGUGACCAGGGCUGUAAACAAACAGAGCCAUGGAUAAAGGUAAGCGCGGUGGCAUUUUUUGCAGGGAGACUGUGCCGGCUCCUGAUUGGCCGGAAACACUCACCUGAACACAGACAGCACAGAGCAGCCGGUAGCAGGAGAAGCAUUCUGUGGCGUUUCCUCUGGUGAACCUGGAUAAGCAGCGCCUGAUGAAGAGGAGGACAGUCUUGCUUUCUAAUGGCCCCUCCUACCUCCCAUCAGCCCGUGCGUGGGCACCAAACAGCCCUCAGGUUCUCACUCUGCUGUUUGUUCAUGUGUGUAGAAAAGGAUGUCUGGUACCGGGGGUUUUCCUCUAUUUAAUUUGAUGAUCAUGUAGGUCACAGGUGUCAAACAUGUGGCCCGGGGGCCAAAUCUGGCCCACCAAACCAUCCAAUCUGGCCUGAGGGAUGAAAGUGCAAAAAACCAAUAUGAUCUACAGCAGGGCUCUCAAACUCAGUUUCUUUCAGGUUCCACAUUCAGCCCGAUUUGAUCUCCAAUGGGCCGGACCAGUAAAAUACUAGCAUAAUAACCUAUAAAUAAUGACAACUCCAAAUUUUUGUCUUUGUUUUAGUGCAAAAACCCCCCCCAUUAAAUUCUGAAAAUAUUUACUUUUAUAAACUAUCCAAACAAAAAAGAUGUGAAUAACCUGAAAAAACUGAAAUUUCUUCAGAAAAAUAAGUGCAAUCUUAACAAUAUUCUGGUUCAAAUUAUCAUUUCUACAUGUGCAUUAUGGAUCAGAUCUACAAAGACACAAAACACUUAGGAACAGGCAGAAAAUUGUUAAAAUUGUGCUUAAAUUUUCUUUAGACAUUUCAGGUUGUUCAUAUUUGUUCAGUUUAUUCACAUUUUAUUGUUACAGGAUAGUUUGUAAAUAUAUGUAUUUUCAUAAUUUAAUGUUGUUUUUUGCGCUAAAACAAAGACAAAUAUUUGAAGUUGAAAUUAUUUAUACGCAUAGUGUAAUAUUAUUAUUUUCACAUCAAACCGAGAAGAAAAUCUGGAGUCAUUCUUUUUUUGUCGGUUAUUCUGCUGUUAUUAUUUGACUGUAGAUCAUAUUGGUCUGUAUGUGGAACCACAACUAAAAUGAGUUCCACAGCCUUGACUGUGCAAUUUUUGCAUUUUGCAAAUUCAUCCCACGGGCCAGAUUGGAACCUUUGGCGGUAUGCAUUUGGCCCCUGGGCCACAUGUUUGAGACCCCUGAGCUACAGGAAAAUAAUAACAGCAGAAUAACCUACAAAAACGAAUGACUCCAUAUUUUCUUCUCAGUCUGAUGUGAAAAAAAGAAAAAAAAUUACACUAUGCCUGU
rnacentral:lncRNA from 1 species